GCCUUUGCGCAGUGGCAGUAUCGUAGCCAAUGAGGUUUAUCCGAGGCGCGAUUAUUGCUAAUUGAAAAGUGCCUCUGGCCUGCGGGUGCCUGGAGGGGCCAGCUCUGCCCGGUGGCUCCCGGCCCCCAGUGGCCCAUGGGCU